rnacentral:miRNA from 11 species
AUGUGUGUGUGUGUGUGUGUGUGUGUGUAUAUAUAUAUAUACAUUAUAUAUAUAUAUACACACAUACACAUACA